GGACCACAUCCACCCUGACUGAAUUGGCCUUGUCAGUGCUGGUUCUCCACUUGUAAGAUUUAAUACUAAGCUGGGUAGUAUCAAGAGGUUGGAAGUGCACAGACUACGAGUCUCUUUGAAUUUGUCCUUUCUGGAACAUAGUUUUGUUGUUCAUAUGGGAUGCUUGUUUGUGGUUUAAUGAACCAAGUAUGCUCCACCCUCAUUAUAAUGCUUGUAGUAGCUGCUCUCUGAUAAGAUUACUGUACUCUGGCUAUAAUCUCCAUUAAACUGUAUUCCAGUUA